AACGAACGCUGGCGGCAUGCCUAACACAUGCAAGUCGAACGAGACCUUCGGGUCUAGUGGCGCACGGGUGCGUAACGCGUGGGAACCUGCCCUUAGGUUCGGAAUAACUCCCCGAAAGGGGUGCUAAUACCGGAUAAUGUCUUCGGACCAAAGAUUUAUCGCCUUUGGAUGGGCCCGCGUUGGAUUAGCUGGUUGGUAGGGUAAAAGCCUACCAAGGCGACGAUCCAUAGCUGGUCUGGGAGGAUGAUCAGCCACACUGGGCCUGAGACACGGCCCAGACUCCGACGGGAGGCAGCAGUGGGGAAUAUUGGACAAUGGGCGAAAGCCUGAUCCAGCAAUGCCGCGGGAGUGAUGAAGGCCUUAGGGUUGUAAAGCUCUUUUACCCGGGAUGAUAAUGACAGUACCGGGAGAAUAAGCACCGGCUAACUCCGUG
rnacentral:rRNA from 1 species